rnacentral:rRNA from 1 species
AACGAACGCUGGCGGCAGGCCUAACACAUGCAAGUCGAGCGCGCCCUUCGGGGUGAGCGGCGGACGGGUGAGUAACGCGUGGGAACGUGCCCUUCUCUGCGGAAUAGCCUCGGGAAACUGAUAGUAAUACCGCAUACGCCCUUUGGGGGAAAGAUUUAUCGGAGAAGGAUCGGCCCGCGUUGGAUUAGGUAGUUGGUGGGGUAAUGGCCCACCAAGCCGUCGAUCCAUAGCUGGUUUGAGAGGAUGAUCAGCCACACUGGGACUGAGACACGGCCCAGACUCCUACGGGAGGCAGGAGUGGGGAAUCUUAGAAAAUGGGGGCAACGCUGAUCUAGCCAUGCCGGGUGAGUGAUGAAGGCCUUAGGGUUGUAAAGCGCUUUCAGCUGGGAAGAUAAUGACGGUACCAGAAGAAGAAGCCCCGGCUAACUACGUG